GGAGCAGUUUCUGGAGAGACCGCACAUGUUUGCGGCGCCGAAGGGUUCACUAUCUCAGGCAAAAGAACAGAAGUUUAAUA
rnacentral:ncRNA from 2 species